CAAAUAUUUCCUUCCUCCUAGCUGAACGCUUUCCAACAUGGCUGCUGCUGUACAGUGAAGCAUUAGAAGUGUGUUUAUAUGGAGAGAAAAGGGUAAUUUUUUCAGGAUGUGCAGAAAGACUCGAAAAUGAGGAAAGGGCUCUGCAUCAACGUUAUGACGCGAUUCCUGUGCAGCACUUGAGGAAGUAAACAAAACCAGAUAUCCCAGAGAGAGUUCUCCACUUUUCUUCUGUCACACUGGCAAAGGACGCAGUGCAGGAGGUCUUAACAGGCAGAGAACAAAGGCUGCACCUUCCUGCUUUCUCUCCUAGCUUUCUCUCUUUCAUCUUAGCCACUUGAUCUGCAGCUGCUGGAAUCCAAGAUGUGUAGCAUCUAGAGCUGGACUUUCUGUGGCAGAACUGACAGAAUUUGCCAGAUCUUUGCCUGACAAGGAGCAGAGCAUGUAGAGUGGUUGCGGUUGCCAUGGAGCCAAGGGAUAAGAAACAGGAGGAGGAUGCUGUGACUCUGGGCCUUUCAACUGGCCAGGCUCUUGUGAAGCUCCGGGACCAGUUAAGCAGCUUGCUGGAACAACAUCAGAGAGUUGCAUGCAGACGAACAUCUGUGUUGGAACAGUGGCAAAACAGCUUCCUUUACCAUGGUAAUCGUCACUCUUGUGUCCAUUGGCCGGGUGCUGCCCUCACUCUGCUGGUGGUGGUGGGACUCGUCUCUUGCCAUGGUAGCCAGCCAAAGGGGAGUUCUGGUAUAGAGCUCCUGAAUGCCGCUGCUCUCCUUCUCCUCUUGGUGCUGAACCUCUGUCUGGGUGGACGCCAGGAGAGACUGAAGCGAAAUGAGAUGAUAUGGCGCCUAAAGGCCAUCAUCACACAGCUCAGUGAUUACUUGUCAGCCUGUGUUGGUGAAGUGAAAUGGCCUUCAUCUCUCUACCCUGACCUUUACACACCCUCAUCCCCAUCGUGGUCCCUUCACUGGACCUAUCGUGACUCUCAGCUGGUUAGCCUGCCUGUCAGUCUACUGGUGGAAGGAGAUAUCAUUGCUCUGAGACCUGGUCAAGAGGCCUUUGCGUCACUUAGAGGCAUUAAGGAUGAUGAACACAUUGUGCUUGAACCAGGAGAUUUAUUCCCACCAUUCUCUCCUCCUCCUUCACCACGGGCCAAUGAGAAAAGAGGACCCCAGAGCCCCCAGCAACACCGCCUCUUCAGAGUGGUCCGUACUCCAGUCCUGGACACGAUAAGGAACAAUUUGGAGUUGGCACUGUCUCGCCCAGUCACUGUGCUCGAUAACGAGAGAUUUACUGUGCAGUCGGUCAUCACCAAGCUAGUCUGUCCUGUUGUGCUGGUGGCAUUCCUGCUGGUUAACACUAUUCGCUUUGCUCUUACUGCCCCCAGCCUCACUCCUAGAUGCUACAAUUUUGUUCAGCUUCAGCUAAUGGGUGUUCUGCCCAUUUUGCCCCUGCUCUUUCCUAUUAUGUGGGUGCUGGUGAAUGCUUAUGGAGAGGCCAGGGUCCUUGCUGAGUUCAGCCGUGUGUCACCAGCUGGCCUGCUUGCUAAGUUCUCUGAGGACACUCUAAGCAGCUACACCGAGAUGGUUUCCUCCCAGCAGGAGAUGAUCCGAUGUGUGUGGAGACACCUGGUUGCUGUCCUGAAGGGAAAAUCUCAGACACUCUGCUAUACUUCUAGCCUUUUACAUACACUGGGAUCUGUCACAGUUCUAUGUUGUGUGGACAAGCAAGGUAUUCUUUCGUGGCCAAAUCCCAGUCCGGAGACUGUGCUGUUCUUUAGUGGAAGAGUGGAACCAUCACACAACAGUCAGGAUGACCUCAGAGACAACAUGUCUGUUAACUCAUACUGCCAAAUGGAGAUGGAUGAUGACAGGGAUGAGGCCCAGGAGGCAGAGGCUCUGCUUUGUCUGCAGAAAGAGCCCCCCCCUCAGCCGGGAGUGGGGCCAGAUCCCAGCGAGACGUCGCAUGAAACAGCACUCUCAUCUGACACUCUCCAGAUUCAGCAGCACUGCCAGCCUGUACCCACUUGCACUAAACACCACUCUGGAUCGAAUGUGAGCUUCAGCCAUGACACUGAGGGAGGCGAGGAUGCCCAGACACCGGUACAAACUGAUUUUUCACUGGGCUGUCCUGAAGUGGAGGCUGAUGACUUUGUGUGUGACUACCACCUGGAGAUGCUGAGCCUGUCACAAGACCAGCAGAACCCUGCCAGCAUCCAGUUUGAUGACCAAUCCUGGCAGUGCCACCUGCCCUCCCUAAAGCCACUGGGCCUGAACAUCAUGCUAAACCUCUGCAACGCCAGUGUCACCAAGCAGCUCUGUCGCUUCUCUGACCAUCUAUCAAACCUGGCUCUGCAGGAGAGCCACGGCACGGUGCUGCCAGUAUAUGUUCCAUGGGGGCUCUGUGAGCUUUCCAGACUUAUAGGGUUCACCCCUGGUGCAAGAGAGCUGUUUAAACAGGAGAACCACUUGGCGCUCUACCAGCUGCCAUCUGGAGAGAAGACCAAGGAGUUCACAUCCCACCGCCUUCAUUACUUCACCAAACGCCAGCCUCCCAUCUCCCAUCUCAUCUCUCUGUUCGUACGAGACUCUUCAUCCAAUAAUGUCCAGAUGCUGUCACAUGGUUCAGCUGACCUUAUCCUGGAGGCCUGCACUGACUUCUGGGAUGGAACUGAUAUCUACCCCCUCUCAGGCUCAGACAGAAAGAAGGUCCUGGACUUCUACCAACGCGCCUGUCUAUCAGGUUACUGCUCAGCUUUUGCGUAUAAACCCAUGCAAGUAUCUCUCUCUAGCCAGCUGAAUGGGAAAUGUAUGGAACUGGCUCCUGGUCCUUGUCUGUUUUCUGGACUAGAGUUGCCCUCCACGACUCCCAUCAAACACAACUCCUGCAGGAACAGCUGGAGCUCAGAUGAAGGUAUAGGUGAGGGUGUGGAGCGUGAGGACUGUGUUCAGGCCCUAAGCGGGCAGAUCUUUAUGGGAAUGGUGUCAUCCCAGUUCCAGGCAAGGCUAGACACGGUCCGUCUCAUUGAUGCCCUCGUCACUGCUUGCAUCCGCUUUGUUUACUUUUCCAUGGAGGAUGAGCUCCGCAGCAAGGUGUUUGCAGAGAAGAUGGGUUUAGAGACAGGCUGGAACUGUCAUAUCUCUCUGACACCAAACGGAGACGGUCCCUGUGAUGGAGCUCCAUCAAGCCCCAGUCAUGGCUCCCUGCAUGAGGAUUUGAACCAAGAUUCUCGGGAUGAAGCAGAAGGUCCCCUGCUACCAGAAGAGGAAGCCCACUCUGACCUGGCCAGUUUCCAGCCCACAGAUAGCGAUGUCCCCAGCUUCCUGGAGGACUGUAACAGGGCCAAGUUACCUCGUGGGAUCCACCAGGUUCGUCCUCAUUUGAAGAACAUUGAUAAUGUGCCUCUUUUGGUGCCACUCUUCACUGACUGUACGCCUGAAACCAUGUGUGAGAUGAUCACGAUCAUGCAGGAAAACAGGGAGGUUACGUGCUGUCUGGGGAGCGCUGGCAAUUUCCGCAAUAGCCGUCUAUUCCUUCAGAGUGACCUAAGCAUUGCUUUGGACCCUCUGUAUCCAUCUCAGUGUUUGUGGGAGACGUUUGGCUAUGCCACUGGGGGAGGAUUUAAUGGAGAGGUCGAAGGACUGUCUCCAUUGAGGCUGUCUGGACAGCUCAACACCAUGGGCUGUUCUGUUACCUUCCACCAAGGAGAGAGUGUGAGCAUGGUCAAACUCAUAGAACAGGCACGACACACAACCUAUGGCAUUCGCAAGUGCUUCCUCUUUCUGCUGCAGUGUCAACUCAGUCUAGUCAUCAUCCAGUUCUUAGCCUGCUUAGCUCAACUUCCUCCUCCCAUGAACACCACUGACAUCCUCUGGGUGUCGUGCUUCAGCUGCCCUCUGCUAAGUGUGUCACUUUUGGGAAAGCCACCUGACAGUACAGUUAUGACAGUUGCCACAGGGAAGAACCUGGACGCAAUCCCAAAGAAGACUCAGAACUACUUCCUUGGCUGUUUCCUGUUGAAGUUUGGCCUGACUAUGUGUGCCUACCUGUUGGCCUUUGGGUUUAGCCUACAAGCGGUCUGCCUGAGCAGUUUGUCACACUGCAACCUGAACUCCUCAGACAACACCACUGCCUCCUGUAAUAUAUUCGCAAAGAGCUUUUCACCUGGUGCACCUCAGUGGUUCUUUGAACUGUCUAACGGUCUGCUGAUGACGCAGAAGGUCAUGGCAGGUUUUCUUGUCUUGCACACAGGCCUAGGGCUUCCCUCCUUCUUCUUUGGGGGGGGCGGCUGUGGAUGGCUGUGCAUCUCCUGGGUCUUUUUCUGUUUGCCUGUGGCUAUUAGGGAGAUGUCAUUGCAGCUUCUCACCCUCACUAUCAAUGGUAAUCUCCCUGAGCUAUGUCCAUCGCUCUCAGCCUUUAUGGAAAAAGAGCCCAUUCAGCAAUACCUGGUGGUGUGUCACUGUACCUGUGGUACUGGUCAGCCAAAUUGUUCAAGCCACAGUGGAUUACCAGUUGUGGUGUGACAAGACUACUGUCCUGUGCUUUAAACUGGCUGACAUACCGCUGGAGGCCUGGCUGCUAGUGUCUCUCUCCCUGCUGCUGGUGGUUGUGGUCAAUGAAGUGGUGAAGUUACAUGAGAUACGGGUGCGAGUUCGGUACCAGAAGAGACAGAAGUUGCAGUUUGAAACAAAGCUUGGAAUGAACUCUCCGUUCUGAAGUCGGUUGGUGUGGCAAUACCAGGAGCCAGCCUGGUGCACAUGCUGUAGCAGCCAAUUUAAGCCUAACUGCACUGCGGCUAGGUGGAGCAAAAGUCGAACAGACAUAAUGGCAGUUUGACACAUUUGUUCGAGCUUCUGGGACUGUUUUUUAAUAGUUGAUUCAUGACACAAAAGGCAGGGAAAAGAAAGACUCCAAAGAAUCCAAUUUAAAUACAAACAUUUAAAUGAUGUCAGAAGAGUUUGUUGUUUGAGUUUAUACUCUUGAAAGACACGAAGAAUAAUUUCUGAAGUAGUUCCUGCUUCCUCUCCUUCACAUCUGUUCUCCAUCUGAGAAACUUUUUAUAUGGGUUCCACUCCAGAAACGUUCCGCUAAAUGCUAGUUCACUGUCAGAGGAUCUUAAUGUGACGUCCACUGAGACACACUGAAUUGUUGCAUAUCAUCUGACUAGCUUUGAUGAUUUUUUUUUUUUUUACAAGUCAAAUGGAAACACACCGGGCUGAAAAAAAGGUACCCAUGGAGCCCCAAAGUUUGUAAUAAUUAUAAAUAAAGGCAUGAGUACUUUUGAAGAACCUAGUUCUAUUUCACUAAAUACAUAAACAGUUGAAUAAAUUUUGUUUGUGAAAACAUUUGAGGAGGAAAGAUGCACACUUGAAUGUGUUUUUAUUAAAAAUGGCAAAUUUAUUUUGUAAAGGAGGUUUUCCCAAUUAGAGUUAAAAAGGAAACUAAAGCAUGAAGUGCCACUCGGGUUCUCUCUCAUAUUUGCUGAUGUGUUUGGGUUUAUUUACUACACUAAGUAGUUUGUUAGUUGACAGGAACAGGAAAUAUUUAGGUUGUUGAGCUCGUAACAGAGAAUAAGUCUAGUGUCAUGAAGAGAGACAUUAUGCAAUACAACCUGACAGUGAGUCAUUUUUUUUUUUUACCCCUGAGCCAAAAAAGGUUGAUGGGGUACUGUCGUCAAGCUGCCAGACUGGCAGGGGAGCAAUGUGGACACCCAAGUUUGGGAAUGUAAUAACUAGAGAAUGUAGCGACACAGGAGUUUUUUUUAAAAUUGAUACAUGGGUGCAUCUACUAAAAAUAUCGAAUGAGUUUGAAUCUCAGGCCACUGAGAUUCAAACUCAUUCUUAAGACACUGGUCUUAAGGUUAAGACCAGUGGCCUUAACCUUAAGGUUAAGGCCACUGGUCAAGUUUUCUGAAAAUCUUCAGAAUACAAUAAGUUGAGAACACGUUCCUCAACAGCCUGCAAGAUUUGAAUUGUAUUUUGCUAUACACACACACACACACACACACACACACACACACACGUGUGUGUGUGUAUAGCUGCAAUGUAAUUUUGCAUUUGUUUAACAAUAAUAAGAAACUCUGAAAAUAAAUUUUGCCAGGGGCAUGUUAACCAUGUAAGUGAUAAAGAUAAACCCUUGUUUUGAGUUGAAAUUGUGUAUAUAUAAUAUUGGGGUUUUUUAUUUUUUAUAUGUUGGAAUCAAGUUGAAUUCACAUAUGGCAUGUGCAGGUUGCAAAGUUUGCAAUAUUCAUUGGCUGUCACAGUAGUUGUGAUUAAAAACCUCACUUUCUUCCA